CUACCUUAAAUAGGGGAGUAGGAGAGAGUAUGAGCAUGACAACAGUCCAGAGAAAAAAGAAGGAAAUACAUCAAGGAAGCCAAAAAAGAAGAAGAACAAGAAACAAGGACAGCGUUUGAUCAGUCAUUGAUUGGUGAAAGGACGCAAUUAACUUAAUGGCAUCAGUGAUGAAAACACUGAAUGGGCCUUCAGUCUGUAGAGCAUGCAGGGAAGGAGUGUGGAAGCAUCUUCAGCGGCUUUUGAUUGAGCUACUGGAAUGGAAGGGUCAAGAGAAGGGGUCAGUCAUAUAAAUACAGUACCUGACGCAAGACCGUGGGCUCUCGAGCAUACGUUCCAUUCAAUGGCUUGUCACAAAGCGAUGCUGACUCUGAAACCUCUGGCUUCUCAAUGGCUGAAACAGUUUCCUGUGUAAUAGGCAACAUCUCUUCUGAAUUUUUUUUGCUUUAAUCACCGUGUCCUCUGCAACUGCUGCCUCAGUUUUCAACACCUCCUCAACAACAGAUGGUGGCUCUACUACACUGGACGCAUGAAGGGCCUCAGGAUGGGUCAGAGGUUCAUCUGAUCCAGCUUCAGUUAUUUCACUAUCAUCAGUGGCAGAUGCCUCUAGCGAGAUCAUCUGAGUGGACGAAGCUGAAUCGGUAAUGUCCUCGGAUGAGAGCACAAUCUGAACGGAGGCCAUCAACUGCAAUGACAGCUUCUCUGCAGCUUGCAUAUUUUCAGCAUCAAGGUCAGUGGAUGAUGGCAGAGAGACAAUGUCAGCAUCUUCAUUGGUUUCAUCAUGGACUACGCAAAAGGAGUCUAUCUCCUUUUAUGAGGGAUAAACAAGCAGAUUAAUCAAAAUGCCCUACUUCUGCACAAUGAUACAUUACUGGAUGGCCUUGAUGUAGCACAUGUAUGCAAUAGAAAAGGGGGUCAUAUUUGGAAGCAGCUACAUCUCACAUGAAAAUAAGCUUCAAUUAUAUACUGUAUGUACCUUUAUAAUGUAAUGACUAAUUAGAGUCACACCAUUUUUAAACCACUUAGGUUGGUACUUAUUUCAAUUAAAAUAUUGACCAUCAAUAACAAAAUCAUAUACAGUAUGUAUAUGUCAAUCAGAGACCACCCUUCACUUUUUCAACUUUCCAGACACAACAACUCAAUAUUUUCCAACUGUUUUGGUGAAUUUCACUUGUAUUCCUUCCCGCAAAAAGUGAAUUAUUUGAAAUCUGAUCUGCUUAGGAAAAUCUCCUGAAAAUAAAAAACUUGAAUGCAAAGGUUUUGUCUAGACAUUAAAUAAAUGAAGGGUGGUAUCUGACUUUUGCACAGUACUGUAGAUUGCACAUAUGAAUGGGCAAUCUACAGUACAAUAUAUGGGCUUUUUUUCAGCGCUCUUGGCUGGUCAGCACUGGAGUAGUUAUGUGUCAUUGAAGAAUGUUUCUCCUCUAGAAACUAUUAAAAAUAUAUAACAACAUUCUACAAAUAACUGAUGAUAAAAUGCCUCCAGUGAUUUCUUUUGAUUUACUU